rnacentral:rRNA from 1 species
CCUACGGGUGGCAGCAGUGGGGAAUAUUGCACAAUGGGGGAAACCCUGAUGCAGCGACGCCGCGUGAGUGAAGACGUAUUUCGGUAUGUAAAGCUCUAUCAGCAGGGAAGAAAUAGCGACCUUUGGGUCGCCAGACGGUACCUGACUAAGAAGCCCCGGCUAACGACGUGCCAGCAGCCGCGGUACUACGGAGGGGGCAAGCGUUAUCCGGAUUUACUGGGUGUAAAGGGAGCGUAGACGGCAGCACAAGUCUGAAGUGAAAUUCCGGGGCUUAACCCCGGAACUGCUUUGGAAACUGGGGUGCUAGAGUGCAGGAGAGGUAAGUGGAAUUCCUAGUGUAGCGGUGAAAUGCGUAGAUAUUAGGAGGAACACCAGUGGCGAAGGCGGCUUACUGGACUGUAACUGACGUUGAGGCUCGAAAGCGUGGGGAGCAAACAGGAUUAGAUACCCCAGUAGUC